GAUGAACGCUAGCGGCAGGCUUAAUACAUGCAAGUCGAGGGGCAGCAUGAUUGUAGCAAUACAAUUGAUGGCGACCGGCAAACGGGUGCGGAACACGUACACAACCUUCCAAUAAGUGGGGAAUAGCCCAGAGAAAUUUGGGUUAAUACCCCGUAACAUAACGAUGUGGCAUCACAUUGUUAUUAUAGAAUUUUCGCUUAUUGAUGGGUGUGCGGCUGAUUAGAUAGUUGGCGGGGUAACGGCCCACCAAGUCUACGAUCAGUAGCUGAUGUGAGAGCAUGAUCAGCCACACGGGCACUGAGACACGGGCCCGACUCCUACGGGAGGCAGCAGUAAGGAAUAUUGGACAAUGGACGCAAGUUUGAUCCAGCCAUGCCGCGUGAAGGAUUAAGGUCCUCUGGAUUGUAAACUUCUUUUAUAAGGGACGAAAAAAGGCUUUUCUAAGUCGUCUGACGGUGCCUUAUGAAUAAGCACCGGCUAACUCCGUGCCAGCCGCCGCAGUAA
rnacentral:rRNA from 1 species